rnacentral:sRNA from 14 species
UGUCCCAUCACUGACUUCACUUUCAGAGGUCGUAUUGAUUUCAACGUCACGUUUCGAGGAGGCCUCCGAAGCAUGUUUGGACACAGCG